rnacentral:rRNA from 1 species
GCUCCGGCCGCNAUGGCGGCCCGCGGGNNUUCGAUUAGAGUUUGAUCCUGGCUCAGGACGAACGCUGGCGGCGUGCUUAACACAUGCAAGUCGAACGGUAAGGCCCUUCGGGGUACACGAGUGGCGAACGGGUGAGUAACACGUGGGUGAUCUGCCCUGCACUUCGGGAUAAGCCCGGGAAACUGGGUCUAAUACCGGAUAUGACCACAGCAUGCAUGUGUUGUGGUGGAAAGCUUUUGCGGUGUGGGAUGGGCCCGCGGCCUAUCAGCUUGUUGGUGGGGUAAUGGCCUACCAAGGCGACGACGGGUAGCCGGCCUGAGAGGGCGACCGGCCACACUGGGACUGAGACACGGCCCAGACUCCUACGGGAGGCAGCAGUGGGGAAUAUUGCACAAUGGGCGCAAGCCUGAUGCAGCGACGCCGCGUGAGGGAUGACGGCCUUCGGGUUGUAAACCUCUCAGCAGGGACGAAGCGCAAGUGACGGUACCUGCAGAAGAAGCACCGGCCAACUACGUGCCAGCAGCCGCGGUAAUACGUAGGGUGCAAGCGUUGUCCGGAAUUACUGGGCGUAAAGAGCUCGUAGGCGGUUUGUCGCGUCGUCUGUGAAAACCAGCAGCUCAACUGUUGGCUUGCAGGCGAUACGGGCAGACUUGAGUAUUUCAGGGGAGACUGGAAUUCCUGGUGUAGCGGUGAAAUGCGCAGAUAUCAGGAGGAACACCGGUGGCGAAGGCGGGUCUCUGGGAAAUAACUGACGCUGAGGAGCGAAAGCGUGGGUAGCGAACAGGAUUAGAUACNCUGGUAGUCCACGCCGUANACGGUGGGCGCUAGGUGUGGGUUUCCUUCCACGGGAUCCGUGCCGUAGCUAACGCAUUAAGCGCCCCGCCUGGGGAGUACGGCCGCAAGGCUAANACUCAAAGGAAUUGACGGGGGCCCGCACAAGCGGCGGAGCAUGUGGAUUAAUUCGAUGCAACGCGAAGAACCUUACCUGGGUUUGACAUACACCGGAAAACC